rnacentral:rRNA from 1 species
AUUGAACGCUGGCGGCAGGCUUAACACAUGCAAGUCGAGCGAGCGGCGGACGGGUGAGUAAUGUCUGGGACACUGCCUGAUGGAGGGGGAUAACUACUGGAAACGGUAGCUAAUACCGCAUACCAUCGGAUGUGCCCAGCUGGGAUUAGCUAGUAGGUGGGGUAAUGGCUCACCUAGGCGACGAUCCCUAGCUGGUCUGAGAGGAUGACAAGCCACACGGGAACUGAGACACGGUCAAGACUCCUACGGGAGGCAGCAGUGGGGAAUAGUGCACAAUGGGCGCAAGCCUGAUGCAGCCAUGCCGCGUGUGUGAAGAAGGCCUUCGGGUUGUAAAGUACUUUCAGCGAGGAGGCGUUACUCGCAGAAGAAGCACCGGCUAACUCCGUGCCAGCAGCCGCGGUAAUAC